UCUACACUAUAUACUGUAUGAAACAUCUACCACCAUCGUCAUCUUCUUCUUCCACCAUUGCCUUCGCUAUCGCAAUUGCUCCGCUGCACUUUCGAUAACGGCCGAAAUUGAUCGAAUUGGACGAUAACCUAAUCCUUGAUUGCAUCUAAUUCUUAUUUGAAGGGAUUAUAUAAUGACAACUGGAUUAACCGAAAACCGG